rnacentral:lncRNA from 1 species
CACUUCACGUUCACGACUUCACUUCAGCUUGUAUCUACUAUCAAGAGUAGAUAAUCUACUCUUGCUACUAUCUAAUGGUCUAGUUCUCUGAAGAGUAAAGACUAAGAGGUGAAGGAGGGUUUCGUCCAGUCUAUUGCUCUCCAUGUACUGGUGUAGUAGUAGUUCUGGUGCCCAGUGGUAAGGGUUUGGCCAGCGAAUUUGGCUAAUGUUCUUGAUUUCUCGGCGUCUCUUGGAGCGCCCUCCUGUAUUAUCCUUGACGGAAGAAUUUUAAAAGUGACUUUAAAUUUCUCUUUAGAUGUCCUACCUAUAUCUAUAGACCCUCUGUACUGUAUAAUGGUUCCAGUCUUCUCUCCGAGCUUCUUGUACCCAAACUACUAAACUGUACCAGCUGCUAGUAAUAAUUCAAACUAAAGUAAACUGGACUUCUUAUGGUGGUAUACAUGUUGUUAGCUGGGAAUCUUAAUGUAAUGUAAUUGUUUGUGAAAGAGGCAAAUUUGUUGAUAGAGUGACACUGGCUGGAUCCUUGGUUUAAUGAUAUUCCUCUCUUUCUAUCCUGUAUCUCGGAUUCUCGGUAGAGAUUGAGCUUGGUGGAAUAGAGAGUAGAGACUAGCUGUGGAUUUCAGAAGUGUAACUGUAUGUUAUACAUGUACAAUCCACUCAUUGUGUUUAACAGCAUACAUGUACAUGUAAUAUGGAAUAUCUAAUAGUGAUGACACACGUCAAAAGUACCGCAGGCACCUAGCGAUCUCACGUACUGUACUGCAGUGAUCUAAUCCAACUACAACUAUGCGCUGAUGCUGCUGCUAGCGAGGCUGUUUUUUGAGUUUGGGACACCCAUCAUUACCCUCUGAGCAUAAAGAAGAAUGUCCUUUUCAUUCCUGCUAGGUCAUUCACGUUGAGCUUGAGCUUUUUUUAUUAAUAGUUAACACACAAGCUCACACUUGUUUUUAUUGAUAAGAGUAUAAGAGUUUUUUUU